rnacentral:rRNA from 1 species
GGCCUCUUGCCAUCGGAUGUGCCCAGAUGGGAUUAGCUUGUUGGUGGGGUAACGGCUCACCAAGGCGACGAUCCCUAGCUGGUCUGAGAGGAUGACCAGCCACACUGGAACUGAGACACGGUCCAGACUCCUACGGGAGGCAGCAGUGGGGAAUAUUGCACAAUGGGCGCAAGCCUGAUGCAGCCAUGCCGCGUGUAUGAAGAAGGCCUUCGGGUUGUAAAGUACUUUCAGCGGGGAGGAAGGGAGUAAAGUUAAUACCUUUGCUCAUUGACGUUACCCGCAGAAGAAGCACCGGCUAACUCCGUGCCAGCAGCCGCGGUAAUACGGAGGGUGCAAGCGUUAAUCGGAAUUACUGGGCGUAAAGCGCACGCAGGCGGUUUGUUAAGUCAGAUGUGAAAUCCCCGGGCUCAACCUGGGAACUGCAUCUGAUACUGGCAAGCUUGAGUCUCGUAGAGGGGGGUAGAAUUCCAGGUGUAGCGGUGAAAUGCGUAGAGAUCUGGAGGAAUACCGGUGGCGAAGGCGGCCCCCUGGACGAAGACUGACGCUCAGGUGCGAAAGCGUGGGGAGCAAACAGGAUUAGAUACCCUGGUAGUCCACGCCGUAAACGAUGUCGACUUGGAGGUUGUGCCCUUGAGGCGUGGCUUCCGGAGCUAACGCGUUAAGUCGACCGCCUGGGGAGUACGGCCGCAAGGUUAAAACUCAAAUGAAUUGACGGGGGCCCGCACAAGCGGUGGAGCAUGUGGUUUAAUUCGAUGCAACGCGAAGAACCUUACCUGGUCUUGACAUCCACGGAAGUUUUCAGAGAUGAGAAUGUGCCUUCGGGAACCGUGAGACAGGUGCUGCAUGGCUGUCGUCAGCUCGUGUUGUGAAAUGUUGGGUUAAGUCCCGCAACGAGCGCAACCCUUAUCCUUUGUUGCCAGCGGUCCGGCCGGGAACUCAAAGGAGACUGCCAGUGAUAAACUGGAGGAAGGUGGGGAUGACGUCAAGUCAUCAUGGCCCUUACGACCAGGGCUACACACGUGCUACAAUGGCGCAUACAAAGAGAAGCGACCUCGCGAGAGCAAGCGGACCUCAUAAAGUGCGUCGUAGUCCGGAUUGGAGUCUGCAACUCGACUCCAUGAAGUCGGAAUCGCUAGUAAUCGUGGAUCAGAAUGCCACGGUGAAUACGUUCCCGGGCCUUGUACACACCGCCCGUCACACCAUGGGAGUGGGUUGCAAAAGAAGUAGGUAGCUUAACCUUCGGGAGGGCGCUUACCACUUUGUGAUUCAUGACUGGGGUGAAGUCGUAACAAGGUAACCGUAGGGGAACCUGCGGUUGGAUCACCUCCUUACCUUAAAGAAGC